UGCCGUGAACUCCAUGCCCUGUGGCUGAGC
rnacentral:piRNA from 1 species